AUGUUCUUGACCGAACAAUACAAGGGCACCUUGUUGGUUGCGAUAGCAAGUGAUGCCAAUAAACGGGCAUUGCCAUUGGCAUUUUCUUUGGUUGAGGUGGAGAAUAAUGACAACUGGGAGUGGUUUUUGCAUCUUUUGAGGACGAAGGUGUUACCGGCUCAGAGAGAAAUUUGUGUCAUAUCGGAUCGACAUCCAGGAAUUCUUAACGCGAUGGAGAUUGAAAUUCCUAGGCAUGCUCCAUUGCACCAUCGAUGGUGCAUGAGGCACUUUUAUUCGAACUUCAAUAAGGCAUGUGGCCUUAAGGAGUUGGCCGAUGAUCUUCAAGAUUGUUGUCUCGCUUUCUCCGACAAGCGGUUCACCACUUUGUUCAACAAAUUGCUGGCGCACAAAAAACUUGAUCCCCGGGGUCAAGACUUUCUCAAUAGGCACAUUGAACACCGGAACAAGUGGGCACAUGCUUUUGAUGAAGAUGGCCAGAGAUACGGUCAAAUGACAAGCAAUAUGGCCGAAUGCUUCAAGAAGGUGCUCAAAGGUGCAUGUGGAUUACCCGUGACGGCAAUAGUUCAAUACACAUUUGACAAGAUGAAUGCGUACUUUCAAAAGUACUCGAUGGAAAUGGAUGCACAGAUAGCGGGUGAGAACAAGCGCAAGUACAAGUACAAGUUUCCACCCAAGGUUGAUGAAUGGUUGGAAUUUCAAUCACGGAAGGCGGACUCACAAGAAGCUAUACUAUAUGACAAUGAAGAGUGGAAGUACGAAGUGAAAGAUCCAGGAGGAACCACAAAUUAUGGCCGCCAACAUGGAGGUCGGGCUUUCAAGGUGUCCUUAACACGGUGUGGUUGCUCUUGCGGGAGUCCAUUGUUGCUUCAUCUACCAUGCUCAAACUUGUAUACCGCCGGUCAUGUUAGGAAGAUGGACGUCAAUCACCCCCUCACCGUGAGGGAGUCGGAGUUCUCAAUCAUGACAGCUAAGAAAACAUGGGCUCCCCGCUUUCACCCAUACUUUGACCAAUCACAAUGGCCGGAGUACCAUGGAGUUCAACUAUGGCCGGAUCUGGAGUUGAAGAUUGUUAAACAGGGUAGACAUAAGACAAAGCGUCUUAGAGGCGACAUGGAUAGAUGGGGUCAUGGUGGCCGCCACGAAGCGGGCAAUGACCAAUUCCAAGAGCCUCAUGAGAGCUCCCGUUGUGGGGAAUGCAAAGGUCAUGGCCACAACAAAAUAAAAUGUACGAAACCACAGAAAAGGUCCAAGAGAAAUGAUGCAAGCACAAGCCAACAAGGAGCUACACAAGGUAGCCGGCCAAGUGGUAGCCAAUAA
rnacentral:rRNA from 1 species